rnacentral:tRNA from 1 species
GGGGUUGUGGCUCAGUGGUAGAGCACUUACCUCACACGUGUGAGGCACUGGGUUCGAUUCUCAGCACCA